UACGUAGGGUGCGAGCGUUAAUCGGAAUUACUGGGCGUAAAGCGUGCGCAGGCGGUGAUGUAAGACAGGGGUGAAAUCCCCGGGCUUAACCUGGGAACUGCAUUUGUGACUGCAUCGCUGGAGUGCGGCAGAGGGGGAUGGAAUUCCGCGUGUAGCAGUGAAAUGCGUAGAGAUGCGGAGGAACACCGAUGGCGAAGGCAGCCCCCUGGGCUGACACUGACGCUCAGGCACGAAAGCGUGGGGAGCAAACAGG
rnacentral:rRNA from 1 species